CACCUGGUUGAUCCUGCCAGUAGUCAUAUGCUUGUCUCAAAGAUUAAGCCAUGCAAGUCUAAGUACGAGCUCUCGUACAGUGAAACUGCGAAUGGCUCAUUAAAUCAGUUAUGGUUCAUUUGAUCGUACAGUUUACUUGGAUAACUGUGGUAAUUCUAGAGCUAAUACAUGCGAGAAGCGCCGACCUCGCGGGAGGCGUGCAUUUAUCAGACCAAAAACCGGCCGCGUCUUCGGGCGCGUUCGCCUUGGUGACUCUGGAUAACUUUGCGGAUCGCACGGUCUAGCACCGGCGACGGAUCAUUCAAGUGUCUGCCCUAUCAACUUUCGUCGGUACGGUAUUUGCCUACCGAGGUUCUUACGGGUGACGGGGAAUCAGGGUUCGAUUCCGGAGAGGGAGCCUGAGAAACGGCUACCACAUCCAAGGAAGGCAGCAGGCGCGCAAAUUACCCAUUCCCGACGCGGGGAGGUAGUGACGAAAAAUAACAAUGCAGGACUCGUUCGAGGCCCUGUAAUUGGAAUGAGUACACUUUAAAAGCUUUAACGAGUAUCCAUUGGAGGGCAAGUCUGGUGCCAGCAGCCGCGGUAAUUCCAGCUCCAAAAGUAUAUAUUUAAGUUGUUGCGGUUAAAAAGCUCGUAGUUGGAUUUUGGGCGCAGGCGGCCGGUCCGUCGCAAGGCGUGUACUGGACGUCCU
rnacentral:ncRNA from 1 species